UGUCAAGGGAUGGGAAUCGAACCCACGACCUUCCGCUUACCGGGCAGAUGCCAUGACCAUAGGCUACCCUGGAC
rnacentral:tRNA from 1 species